rnacentral:lncRNA from 1 species
CUUAAGAACAUUCAUCCCCGAAUGUCUCUAACACAACAUAAACACAUAGAAAAGGGGAAAGCGCACUAACUAACCUCAAAACAGAUAUGGGUAUUGCUGGAGCAUGGACUCCCGAGUUUCCCAGGUGCACUCUUCUAGGUUAUGGUGGUUCCACAGGACUAUCACCAUUGGUAUCUCCUUGUUUCUCAGCUUUCUGAUCUGGGUGUCAAGGAU